CACGAACGCUGGCGGCAGGCUUAACACAUGCAAGUCGAGCGCCCCGCAAGGGGAGCGGCAGACGGGUGAGUAACGCGUGGGGAUCUACCCACCUCUACGGAAUAACGCAUGGAAACGUGUGCUAAUACCGUAUACCUCCUUCGGGAGAAAGAUUUAUCGGAGAUGGAUGAGCCCGCGUUGGAUUAGCUAGUUGGUGGUGUAAAGGCCUACCAAGGCGACGAUCCAUAGCUGGUCGGAGAGGAUGAUCAGCCACACUGGGACUGAGACACGGCCCAGACUCCUACGGGAGGCAGCAGUGGGGAAUAUUGGACAAUGGGCGCAAGCCUGAUCCAGCCAUGCCGCGUGAGUGAUGAAGGCCCUAGGGUUGUAAAGCUCUUUCACCGGUGAAGAUAAUGACGGUAACCGGAGAAGAAGCCCCGGCUAACUUCGUGCCAGCCGCCGCGGUAAAAC
rnacentral:rRNA from 1 species